GGGCAGAAAUUUGAAUGAUGCGUC
rnacentral:siRNA from 1 species